rnacentral:rRNA from 1 species
AGUCAAUGCUCGCAAGAGUGAACUAGCUAACUGAAAUCAUAUGACUCAUUAAUAUGGUGAUUAUGAUAACAUAAGGGAAAAAAAUGAUAUUACCUUAUUAUUAGUGUUGUCCAAAACUGGUGCCAGAAGACUCGGUAAGACCAGAGACGCAAACGUUAGUCAUCUUAAUCAGGCGUAAAGGGUUUGUAGGCUGCUUUAAAAUUUUAAUUCUUUGUAAUAGCUCUUUUACCGUAAUGCUAAAAUUAUUUAUUAAUUAUUUGAUUUGAUAAUAAAUAAUGUAGUAUAUAAAAUUUAUUAUAUAAAAUAAAUAAAUGAUAUAAAAUAAAUAUCCGUGUAUAAGUAAAGAAAUAAAUGAAUUAAAGCUAGGAUCAAAUUGAGGAUAAACCAAAUAAUACUUAGAGUAGGGCUUAUAUCCGUAGAUACUAAGGGGAAUACUAAAGGUGAAAACUUUUUAUCUACUAUUGAUUGACGCUGAGAAACGAAGGUGAGAAUAGGAAAUAGGAUUAGAUACCCAGAUACCUCUCACUGUCAACGAUGAAUGGUGGUUUGUUAGUUUUAAUAAAAACUGGUAACGAUGUUAACACGAUAACCAUUCCGCCUUGCGAGUACGG